AACAUAUAACUACCUGUGGCAGAUUAGUCAGAUCCUCCCUGUAGUGACGUCAUGUUAUUGGUAGCCUAUCUUCCCGCAGGGAGGUGUGUAUAAAUGGCUGUUUGGUGCGGGCCGGAUGUGCGUCAUCUGUUCUGUGCCUGCGCUCUUCCUGUUUACCGGCAUUCAACAGAGGUCUGUGGUUAAAACACAGCCGUUUGGGCAUUUUAACACGCUUGUGUCAUUUUGUGGGGCUUUGCGUACACUGGAGAGUCUAUUGUAAACAACCGUUACGUGCGGUCUGGCUCGUUACACUGCCUAGUCCCAGCAUUCCCGUGUGUUUACCGUUUGAGUGGGGACAUCCAAUAUAUGCUGUUUGGCAUCUACUUCAUUUCUAUCCCGUGGAUACUGACGUCAGCUCUGCUUUCUGGUGUGGCAAACGGCUGCGUUAUUUGGGGCUAAGACUGUGCGUGCUGCAUUUCCCUACUACAUAUAGAAGCACGCUGCUGUUUUGUUCCUGCUGGAUUUGCUUUCGUUUCUUUUCUGUAUAUUUUUGCUGUGUGUUUUCAUCAUUUUGUCCUGGGUGAUUUAGCGCGGCCCGAUUUUGGAGUUGUUGGUUAAAACCUGCUCCUACUGUGACUGUAUUUUAAAGAUCUUUUCCUCGUACGUUGGGAAAUAACGAGUUCAAGGGCCGCGCUCAUUCAGAUAUUUAUUUCUUCAUUUUCCCUUUGUGGUGUUUCUCAUUUUGGACUGGUUCAGAAUGCUGAGAUUUUCUCUUGGACAUUGUUGUCUUUAAAUUUAUUUUCCUUUUGUGUUAUUUAGCUGUUUAAGCUAGAAUUUAUUUCUUUUCUUUAUGUUGGAAGGGUUUCUUUUGCUCCCCUGCAUUUAAUAAGUUUUUAUUGAUUAAUUUCUAUUGCUUUGAUUUAU